rnacentral:rRNA from 1 species
AAAUUGAAGAGUUUGAUCAUGGCUCAGAUUGAACGCUGGCGGCAGGCCUAACACAUGCAAGUCGAACGGUAACAGGAAGAAGCUUGCUUCUUUGCUGACGAGUGGCGGACGGGUGAGUAAUGUCUGGGAAACUGCCUGAUGGAGGGGGAUAACUACUGGAAACGNNNNNNNNNNAACUGCCUGAUGGAGGGGGAUAACUACUGGAAACGGUAGCUAAUACCGCAUAACGUCGCAAGACCAAAGAGGGGGACCUUCGGGCCUCUUGCCAUCGGAUGUGCCCAGAUGGGAUUAGCUAGUAGGUGGGGUAACGGCUCACCUAGGCGACGAUCCCUAGCUGGUCUGAGAGGAUGACCAGCCACACUGGAACUGAGACACGGUCCAGACUCCUACUACUGGAAACGGUAGCUAAUACCGCAUAACGUCGCAAGACCAAAGAGGGGGACCCUCGGGCCUCUUGCCAUCGGAUGUGCCCAGAUGGGAUUAGCUUGUUGGUGGGGUAACGGCUCACCAAGGCGACGAUCCCUAGCUAGUCUGAGAGGAUGACCAGCCACACUGGAACUGAGACACGGUCCAGACUCCUACGGGAGGCAGCAGUGGGGAAUAUUGCACAAUGGGCGCAAGCCUGAUGCAGCCAUGCCGCGUGUAUGAAGAAGGCCUUCGGGUUGUAAAGUACUUUCAGCGGGGAGGAAGGGAGUAAAGUUAAUACCUUUGCUCAUUGACGUUACCCGCAGAAGAAGCACCGGCUAACUCCGUGCCAGCAGCCGCGGUAAUACGGAGGGUGCAAGCGUUAAUCGGAAUUACUGGGCGUAAAGCGCACGCAGGCGGUUUGUUAAGUCAGAUGUGAAAUCCCCGGGCUCAACCUGGGAACUGCAUCUGAUACUGGCAAGCUUGAGUCUCGUAGAGGGGGGUAGAAUUCCAGGUGUAGCGGUGAAAUGCGUAGAGAUCUGGAGGAAUACCGGUGGCGAAGGCGGCCCCCUGGACGAAGACUGACGCUCAGGUGCGAAAGCGUGGGGAGCAAACAGGAUUAGAUACCCUGGUAGUCCACGCCGUAAACGAUGUCGACUUGGAGGUUGUGCCCUUGAGGCGUGGCUUCCGGAGCUAACGCGUUAAGUCGACCGCCUGGGGAGUACGGCCGCAAGGUUAAAACUCAAAUGAAUUGACGGGGGCCCGCACAAGCGGUGGAGCAUGUGGUUUAAUUCGAUGCAACGCGAAGAACCUUACCUGGUCUUGACAUCCACGGAAGUUUUCAGAGAUGAGAAUGUGCCUUCGGGAACCGUGAGACAGGUGCUGCAUGGCUGUCGUCAGCUCGUGUUGUGAAAUGUUGGGUUAAGUCCCGCAACGAGCGCAACCCUUAUCCUUUGUUGCCAGCGGUCCGGCCGGGAACUCAAAGGAGACUGCCAGUGAUAAACUGGAGGAAGGUGGGGAUGACGUCAAGUCAUCAUGGCCCUUACGACCAGGGCUACACACGUGCUACAAUGGCGCAUACAAAGAGAAGCGACCUCGCGAGAGCAAGCGGACCUCAUAAAGUGCGUCGUAGUCCGGAUUGGAGUCUGCAACUCGACUCCAUGAAGUCGGAAUCGCUAGUAAUCGUGGAUCAGAAUGCCACGGUGAAUACGUUCCCGGGCCUUGUACACACCGCCCGUCACACCAUGGGAGUGGGUUGCAAAAGAAGUAGGUAGCUUAACCUUCGGGAGGGCGCUUACCACUUUGUGAUUCAUGACUGGGGUGAAGUCGUAACAAGGUAACCGUAGGGGAACCUGCGGUUGGAUCACCUCCUUACCUUAAAGAAGC